AAGCGCGCGUAGGUGGUUUGUUAAGUUGGAUGUGAAAUCCCCGGGCUCAACCUGGGAACUGCAUUCAAAACUGACUGACUAGAGGUGUGGUAGAGGGUGGUGGAAUUUCCUGUGUAGCGGUGAAAUGCGUAGAUAUAGGAAGGAACACCAGUGGCGAAGGCGACCACCUGGACCAACACUGACACUGAGGUGCGAAAGCGUGGGGAGCAAACAGGAUUAGAUACCCGUGU
rnacentral:rRNA from 1 species